AGUGAACGCUGGCGGUAGGCCUAACACAUGCAAGUCGAACGGCAGCACAGUAAGAGCUUGCUCUUACGGGUGGCGAGUGGCGGACGGGUGAUGAAUACAUCGGAAUCUACUUUUUCGUGGGGGAUAACGUAGGGAAACUUACGCUAAUACCUCAUACGACCUACGGGUGAAAGCAGGGGAUCUUCGGACCUUGCGCGAUUGAAUGAGGCGAUGUCGGAUUAGCUAGUUGGCGGGGUAAAGGCCCACCAAGGCGACGAUCCGUAGCUGGUCUGAGAGGAUGAUCAGCCACACUGGAACUGAGACACGGUCCAGACUCCUACGGGAGGCAGCAGUGGGGAAUAUUGGACAAUGGGCGCAAGCCUGAUCCAGCCAUACCGCGUGGGUGAAGAAGGCCUUCGGGUUGUAAAGCCCUUUUGUUGGGAAAGAAAAGCAGCAGGUUAAUACCCCGCUGUUCUGACGGUACCCAAAGAAUAAGCACCGGCUAACUUCGUG
rnacentral:rRNA from 1 species